UGACGGUCGGGGAAGUCUUAGGCGGCGGACGGGUGAGUAACGCGUGAAGUUAACCUGUCCUUCGAGGAGGGGACAACAUCUACGGAAAGGGGUGCUAAUACCGCAUAAUAUUGUUUUAUCGCAUGGUAAAACAAUCAAAGAUUUAUCGCCUGAAGAUGGACUCGCGUCUGAUUAGCUAGUUGGUGAGGUAAUGGCUCACCAAGGCGACGAUCAGUAGCCGAACUGAGAGGUUGAACGGCCACAUUGGGACUGAGAUAUGGCCCAGACUCCUACGGGAGGCAGCAGUCGGGAAUAUUGCGCAAUGGAGGAAACUCUGACGCAGUGACGCCGCGUAUAGGAAGAAGGUUUUCGGAUUGUAAACUAUUGUCGUUAGGGAAGAUACAAGACAGUACCUAAGGAGGAAGCCCCGGCUAACUAUGUG
rnacentral:rRNA from 1 species